CAGCCGCCGCGGGAAUACAGAGGAUGCAAGCGUUAUCCGGAAUGAUUGGGCGUAAAGCGUCUGUAGGUGGCUUUUCAAGUCCGCCGUCAAAUCCCAGGGCUCAACCCUGGACAGGCGGUGGAAACUACCAAGCUAGAGUACGGUAGGGGCAGAGGGAAUUUCCGGUGGAGCGGUGAAAUGCGUUGAGAUCGAAGAGAACACCAACGACGAAAGCACUCUGCUGGGUCGACACUGACACUGAGAGACGAAAGCUAGGGGAGCAAAUGGGAUUAGAUACCCCAGUAGUCCCUGUCUCUUAUAC
rnacentral:rRNA from 1 species